CCAGGUUCCAUCCUCAGCACCACAUACAAACAAAGAUGUGUCCGCCGAAAACUAGAAAAUAAAUAUUAAAAUUCUCUCUCUCUCUCUCUUUAAGAAAAGAAUAUUUAUUAAAAAAAAAAAAAAAGAAGACUGAGGCAAGAGGAUCCCAAAUUCAUGGCUAUCCUGAACAAUUUAGCAAGACACAAAAAGAUCCUGUCUUGGAAUAAAAAAAAAAAAAAUUGAAGGGUUGGGGAUCAAGCCCAAUGUUAGCAUUGCGGGAAAGCAGCAAGCAGCACUCGGGGAGGAGGAGAACUCCCAACUUUAUUUUAUGCCUGUGGGCCCAGAGUAAGCAAACUCCAAAUUCUGAGCCCUGAUCCACAGUUUCUCGCAACAUUUAUAGGUUAUUUGGUGUUCUCUUAGAGCCAUUUUAUCAUUGAGGCUUUUUUCCCCUUUUAAAAAAAUUCCUAAUUCUACUUGGCUGAAGGCCUUGUGCAGGGUCCCUAACAUUGAAUUUACAGUAAUAGAUAAGAAGAAACGGCUUUUUUCAUAGACUUAAUAUUCUAGCCUUGAAAGCCAGGCACAGGCUGGGGUGCGGUGGCCCAUGCCUGUGAUCCCAGAGGCUUGGGAGACUGAGACAGGAGAAUCACAAGUUCAAAGCCAGCUUCAGCAAAGGCGAGGCGCUAAGCAACUCAGUGAGACCCUGUCUCUAAAUAAAAUACAAAAUAGGAAAAUAGGACUGGGGAUGUGGCUCAGUGGUUGAGAUCCCCAGUACAGGAAGGAAGGAAGGAAGGAAGGAAGGAAGGAAGGAAGGAAGGAUUCCAUCCUCAGCACCACAUAAAAAUAAACUAUAACUAAAAUAUGAGAGAGAGAGAGAGAGAAGGGCUGGGGAUAUGGUUCAGUUGGUAGAGUGCUUCCCUUGAACACACAAGGCCCUGGGUUCAAUCCCCAGCAACACACACACACACACACACACAAAAAAAAAAAAAAAGAGAGAGAGAGAGAGAGAGAGAAAGAAAGAAAAGAAAAGAAAGCCUGGCACAGGGGUGUUUACAUUUCAAAAGGGAGUAGUCAGACUCCUAGGGCUGUUAUUUACAAUCCAAAAGGUAGAGACUGGUGGUUAUAAUUAGGCUUCCUGAAAAAAGGCAGAGAAAGUGGAGGGGAAUUGACCCUUUUUUCUAGCAUUAGGGUUUUGUUUUUGUUUUUUGUCUUCUUUCUUUCUUUCUUUUUGGUACUGGGGAUUGAACUCUGGGACUCUCAACCACUGAGACACAUUUCCAGCCCUAUUUCGUAUUUUAUUUAGUGAUAGGGUCUCAUUGAGUUGCUUAGCACCUCACUGUUGCUGAGUCUUUGAACCCAAGAGCCUCCUGAGCUGCUGGGAUUAUAGGCGUGCUCCACCGCGCCUGGCUUAGACAUUGGAUUCUUAUAAUUUCAUUUUACAACCAGGUCUGGCUUUGCCAUCACAGUAGAACAUUACCUAGUAUGUGUGAGGCUGAGUUCAAUUCCCAGCACUGCAAGAAAAUAAAAUUAAUAGUGACUAUACCCCAAAAUCUCUGAGUGCUUUCUUUUUGAGGAGGGAGGCACUGGGGUUUGAGCCCAGGGACACUCUACCACUGAGCUACAUCCUCAAUUCUUUGAGACAGGAUCUCAGUACGUUGCUCACAGCCUCUGCUAAAUUGCUGAGGUUGGCUUUGAACCUUUGAUCAUCCUGCCUCAGCCUCCCGAGCUGCUGGAAUUACAGGUGUGCACCACCACAGCCAACCCAGCCCUUCUUACUUUGAAAGAGGGUCUCCCUAAAUUGCUGAGGCUAGCCUUGAAUUUGGGAUCUUCCUGCCCCAGCCUCUCCCAUGUCUCUAGGCUUACAGGCAUGGGCCAUUAUGCUGAGCCUAUGAGGUCUUUGUUUUUUUAGUUGUAGAUGGGCAACUUUAUUUUAUUUAUUUAUUUGUAUGUGGUGCCUCACAUGUGCCAGGCAAGCCUCUACACUGAGCCACAAACCCAGCCCGAUAAGUUCUUUUAGAAGUUUUAUAUUCCCAAAUUCCUAGUCCUUUUCAUUUUUUAUUUUGAAACAGGCUAUUAUUGCUAAAUUGCUGAGGGUCUCUGUUAAAUUGCUAAGGCUGAGCUGGGUAUGGUGGCACACACCUGUAAUCCCAGUGACUGGGGAGGUUGAUGAAGGAGGAUUGCAAGUUGGAGACUAGCCUCAACAACUUAGUGGAGAUCUUGGCUCAAAAUAAAAAAUAAAAAAGGGACUGGGGAUGUAGCUCACGUGAAGCAUGCUGGGUUAAAUCCCCAGGACCAAAAAAAAAAAAAAAAAAAGAAAGAAAGAAAAGAAAAAGAAAAACCAAACAAAACAACUUUCAGUGCUGGGGAUAUAAUUCAGUAGCAGCGUACUUGCCUAGAUUGUGCUAUGCCCUGGGCUUGAUCCCAGUACCACAAAAAAUUCCCAAAACAAAAACAAACCCAUAAUCAUAGUUAUAAGUGAAUGUUACUGGUAUCUAUUAGUUCCAUAUAUCUGUAUUUUUGCUUUGUCUCCUGGUAAUUACCUAACUCACUGGGUGUAUCACCCUGCACUGUUCUAGUUACUGAGGAUGCCACUGUGAACACAUCAGAAUUCCUGAUUUCAAAGAACACAUAGCCUAGUGGCUGGGGACAGGACAAGGAAAACAAGAAUGCAAUAGCACUUACUAUAGAAGUGGCAUGGCCUAGGCAUAGCGGUCGUGUGUAUGGA
rnacentral:lncRNA from 1 species